UACAGAGGGUGCGAGCGUUAAUCGGAAUUACUGGGCGUAAAGCGCACGUAGGCGGCGACGUAAGUCGGGUGUGAAAGCCCCGGGCUCAACCAUGGAAGUGCAUUCGAAACUGCAGAGCUAGAGUCCUGGAGAGGAAGGUGGAAUGCUUGGUGUAGAGGUGAAAUUCGUAGAUAUCAAGCGGAACACCGGUGGCGAAGGCGGCCUUCUGGACAGUGACUGACGCUGAGACGCGAAAGCGUGGGGAGCAAACAGG
rnacentral:rRNA from 1 species